CGGCCCAGACUCCUACGGGAGGCAGCAGUAAGGAAUCUUCCGCAAUGGACGAAAGUCUGACGGAGCAACGCCGCGUGAGUGAUGAAGGUUUUCGGAUCGUAAAACUCUGUUGUUAGGGAAGAACAAGUACCGUUCGAAUAGGGCGGUACCUUGACGGUACCUAACCGAAAGCCACGGCUAACUACGUGCCAGCAGCCGCGGUAAUACGUAGGUGGCAAGCGUUGUCCGGAAUUAUUGGGCGUAAAGCGCGCGCAGGCGGUUUCUUAAGUCUGAUGUGAAAGCCCCCGGCUCAACCGGGGAGGGUCAUUGGAAACUGGGGAACUUGAGUGCAGAAGAGGAGAGUGGAAUUCCACGUGUAGCGGUGAAAUGCGUAGAGAUGUGGAGGAACACCAGUGGCGAAGGCGACUCUCUGGUCUGUAACUGACGCUGAGGCGCGAAAGCGUGGGGAGCGAACAGGAUUAGAUACCCUGGUAGUCCACGCCGUAAACGAUGAGUGCUAAGUGUUAGAGGGUUUCCGCCCUUUAGUGCUGCAGCAAACGCAUUAAGCACUCCGCCUGGGGAGUACGGUCGCAAGACUGAAACUCAAAGGAAUGGACGGGGGCCCGCACAAGCGGUGGAGCAUGUGGUUUAAUUCGAAGCAACGCGAAGAACCUUACCAGGUCUUGACCCUCCUCUGACAACCCUAGAGAUAGGGCUUCCCCUUCGGGGGCAGAGUGACAGGUUGUGCAUGGUUGUUUGUCAGCUCGUGUCGUGAGAUGUUGGGUUAAG
rnacentral:rRNA from 1 species